UACGUAGGGGGCUAGCGUUGUCCGGAUUUAUUGGGCGUAAAGAGCGUGUAGGCGGCUUGGCAAGUCGGGUGUGAAAACUCCAGGCUCAACCUGGAGAUGCCACCCGAUACUGCUAUGGCUUGAGUUCGGUAGGGGACCACGGAAUUCCUGGUGUAGCGGUGAAAUGCGCAGAUAUCAGGAGGAACACCGGUGGCGAAGGCGGUGGUCUGGGCCGACACUGACGCUGAGGAGCGAAAGCGUGGGGAGCGAACAGG
rnacentral:rRNA from 1 species